AAUAGAUCCACUACCCAUCCUCAUCCCCCAGGACAGGUUUACAAUAGAUCCACUACUCAUCCUCAUCCCCCAGGACAGGUUCACAAUAGAGUCACUACCCAUACUCAUCCCCCAGGACAGGUUCACAAUAGAUCCCCUACCCAUCCUCAUCCCCCAGAACAGGUUCACAAUAGAUCCACUACUCAUCCUCAUCCCCCAGCACAGGUUCACAAUAGAUCCACUGCCCAUCCUCAUCCCCCAGGACAGGUUCACAAUAGAUCCACUACCCAUCCUCAUCCCCCAGGACAGGUUCACAAUAGAUCCACUGCCCAUCCUCAUCCC
ensembl:lncRNA